rnacentral:piRNA from 1 species
UGCAGGUCCAUUUCAUCUCCUGUCAGGUUG